AUACGUAGGUGGCAAGCGUUGUCCGGCAUUAUUGGGCGUAAAGCGCAUGUAGGCGGCGGGUUAAGUCUGUCGUGAAACUGCGGGGCUCAGCCCCGUAUGGCGGUGGAAACUGGACGGCUUGGGUGCAGGGGAGGAAAGGGGAAACCCCAGGGUAGCGGGGAAAUGCGUAGAUAUUGGGAAGAACACCGGUGGCGAAGGCGCCUUUCUGGACUGUGUCUGACGCUGAGAUGCGAAAGCCAGGGUAGCGAACGGGAUUAGAUACCCCGGUAGUCCUGGCCGUAAACGAUGGGUACUAGGUGUGGGAGGUAUCGACCCCUUCCGUGCCGGAGUUAACGCAAUAAGUACCCCGCCUGGGGAGUACGGCCGCAAGGCUUAAACUCAAAUGAAUUGACGGGG
rnacentral:rRNA from 1 species